rnacentral:rRNA from 1 species
GUGGGGAAUAUUGGACAAUGGGCGCAAGCCUGAUCCAGCCAUGCCGCGUGAGUGAUGAAGGCCUUAGGGUUGUAAAGCUCUUUCGUCAGGGAAGAUAAUGACGGUACCUGAAGAAGAAGCCCCGGCUAACUUCGUGCCAGCAGCCGCGGUAAUACGAAGGGGGCUAGCGUUGCUCGGAAUCACUGGGCGUAAAGCGCACGUAGGCGGCUUUCUAAGUCAGGGGUGAAAUCCUGGAGCUCAACUCCAGAACUGCCUUUGAUACUGGAGAGCUUGAGUUCGGGAGAGGUGAGUGGAACUGCGAGUGUAGAGGUGAAAUUCGUAGAUAUUCGCAAGAACACCAGUGGCGAAGGCGGCUCACUGGCCCGAUACUGACGCUGAGGUGCGAAAGCGUGGGGAGCAAACAGGAUUAGAAACCCGAGUAGUCC